ACUAGGUGGAGCACCCCUGCAGGGUUAAAUCUUUUCGGAAAGCCGUGCCCGUGUUUAUGUGGCAAUGUGGAAACUUCGUUUAACACUGGUUCUAGAUAACUUGAAGUUAACUUAAUUAAAACAUGCCAACUGUGUGUGUAACCGUGACUGUCUCUUCCGUGAGUUCCUUCUCCGAUCGAGGACACGGUGGGGUUAUGUCUGACAUAGGUAGGUGUUCAGGAUCAUUCAUUUGAUCAUCAGUAGUCACGUCCGUUAUGCGUAGAUCUUCCCCCUCUUAUUUCUUGUACUCGUAAGUUAGCCACCUCAUAU
rnacentral:lncRNA from 1 species